GCUCCGUAGGUGAACCUGCGGAGGGAUCAUUACAGAGUUCAUGCCCUACCGGGUAGAUCUCCCACCCUAUGUUAUUAUUACUUUGUUGCUUUGGCGGGCCGUUAGGCUCCGGCCCGACUACCGGCCCCGGCUGGUAAGCGCCCGCCAGAGGACCCAAAACCCUGAAUGUUAGUGUCGUCUGAGUACUAUAUAAUAGUUAAAACUUUCAACAACGGAUCUCUUGGUUCUG
rnacentral:misc_RNA from 1 species